CAACCGCCCGCUUGAAGGAAAGAAAGUUUUUCCGAUUCGUAAAAACUUUUGUUGUUAGAAGAGGAACGGUUGUAGGAGUAACUGUUCCAGCAGUGACCGUUAUCUAACCAGAAAACCACGGCUAACUACGUGCCAGCAGCCGCGGUAAUACGUAGGUGGCAAGCGUUGUCCGGAUUUAUUGGGCGUAAAGGGAACGCAGGCGGUUUUUUAAGUCUGAUGUGAAAGCCUUCGGCUUAACCGAAGUCAUGCAUUGGAAACUGAAAGACUUGAGUGCAGAAGAGGAGAGUGGAACUCCAUGUGUAGCGGUGAAAUGCGUAGAUAUAUGGAAGAACACCAGUGGCGAAAGCGGCUCUCUGGUCUGUAACUGACGCUGAGGUUCGAAAGUGUGGGUAGCAAACAGGAUUAGAUACCCUGGUAGUCCACACCGUAAACGAUGAAUGCUAAGUGUUGGAGGGUUUCCGCCCUUCGGUGCUGCAGCUAACGCAUUAAGCAUUCCGCCUGGGGAGUACGACCGCAAGGUUGAAACUCAAAGGAAUUGACGGGGGCCCGCACAAGCGGUGGAGCAUGUGGUUUAAUUCGAAGCAACGCGAAGAACCUUACCAGGUCUUGACAUCUUCUGACAGCCUAAGAGAUUAGGUGUUCCCUUCGGGGACAGAAUGACAGGUGGUGCAUGGUUGUCGUCAGCUCGUGUCGUGAGAUGUUGGGUUAAGUCCCGCAACGAGCGCAACCCUUAUUAUUAGUUGCCAGCAUUAAGUUGGGCACUCUAGUGAGACUGCCGGUGACAAACCGGAGGAAGGUGGGGAUGACGUCAAAUCAUCAUGCCCCUUAUGACCUGGGCUACACACGUGCUACAAUGGACGGUACAACGAGUCGCGAAACCGCGAGGUUUAGCUAAUCUCUUAAAGCCGUUCUCAGUUCGGAUUGUAGGCUGCAACUCGCCUACAUGAAGUCGGAAUCGCUAGUAAUCGCGGAUCAGCAUGCCGCGGUGAAUACGUUCCCGGGCCUUGUACACACCGCCCGUCACACCAUGAGAGUUUGUAACACCCAAAGCCGGUGAGGUAACCUUUAUGGGGCCAGCCGUCUAAGGUGACAGAUGUGAA
rnacentral:rRNA from 1 species